AGUUAAAUUAAUUAUGUCUUGAAAACAUUAAUAAAGGAACUUAAAUUCCUAUUAACUU
rnacentral:tRNA from 1 species